rnacentral:rRNA from 1 species
GACGAACGCUGGCGGCGUGCUUAACACAUGCAAGUCGAACGGAGUGGCGAACGGGUGAGUAACACGUGGGUGAUCUGCCUUGCUCUUUGGGAUAAGCUUGGGAAACUGGGUCUAAUACCGGAUAGUGCAAGAUGAGCUCGGGGCCUAUCAGAUUGUUGGUGGGGUAAUGGCCUACCAAUGCGUCGACGGGUAGCCGGCCUGGGAGGGUGUACGGCCAGAUUGGGACUGAAAUACGGCCCAGGCUACUAGGGGAGGAAGCAGUGGGGAAUAUUGCAGAAUGGGCGGAAGCCUGAUGCAGCGACGCCGCGUGGGGGAUGAAGGACUUCGGGUUGUAAACUCCUUUCGACAGGGACGCGGUACCUGUAUAAGAAGCACCGGCUAACUACGUGCCAGCAGCCGCGGUAAUAC